rnacentral:rRNA from 1 species
UGAGUAACCUGCCCUUAACUCUGGGAUAAGCCUGGGAAACUGGGUCUAAUACCGGAUAUGACUCCUCAUCGCAUGGUGGGGGGUGGAAAGCUUUAUUGUGGUUUUGGAUGGACUCGCGGCCUAUCAGCUUGUUGGUGAGGUAAUGGCUCACCAAGGCGACGACGGGUAGCCGGCCUGAGAGGGUGACCGGCCACACUGGGACUGAGAUACGGCCCAGACUCCUACGGGAGCAG